UUUUCUUGACUCUUAAUUAAGCACUGGAGGUGGUGAGUCUAAUUAGAGAGAAAGACAUCUAGGGCUGCCCAUGCGUCAGCGUGUACAGUUUGUGCACUGUAUGAACACAGAGCAGAGGAGGCCAGUGGGGCUAAAAUUCAGCCCCAAGUCCAGAGCACCUGCUGAGUCUGCUCAGAAGGGGCAUCUUUUUCUAAUUCAUCUGUCUAAAGGGGAGCUUUUUUCUAAUUCUCACAAGGAAUCAGAGUUGUAAGAAUUUGGGUUCCUGCAAUCAUCUUUUUAUUUAGUUUUUUUUUUUUUUUAGGGACAAAGACUUGCUCUGUUGCCCAGAUGGGAGUGUGGUUGAUCCUGUAGAUAGCUAUGAUUCACUAGUUAACUUAUUUGGAUUGAAUGAAUUAAGCUGUCCUUACAGCCCGAUGUCCUAGUCUGGUUUACAGCCCAUGCUGUAAGCCAGUGGUUUUGAAACUUGAGCCAGCAACACAACCGUCUGGAGGGUUUGCUGAAACAAUUGCCGGGCUAGACACUCAGAGUUUCUGAGUCAGUAGGUUUGGGGUGGGACCUGAGAAUAUGCCUUUCUAACAAGCACCCAAAGGAUGGCGAUGGUGCCGGUCCAGGGACCUUACUUUGAGGACCAGUGCUAGAAGCUAUAGCUAUAGGCAAGGAUUUAUUUUGGACCUUUUCCAUGUUUACUAAUAAGAGCCUCACUGAGCCUGUCCAGAUCAAAUGAAAAUAAGCCACUUCAGGUACCCCAAAAUGGAGUGGAAAGGUAAUGCUGGUGGAUGCUUAGCCUGGGUACCAGUGGCAUACAUGGCCCACAGUUCCCAGAAUUACUUUGAAUACAGGACGGAGAAGGCACUCUGUGGGCGGGAGCCAUUUCCAUUCAUUUGAUUCACUCAGUGUCUGCAUCUGUGUGAUGAAAGAGCCACUGUUCACCUGGUCAGCAGCUCAGCUGUGGGUGCUGAUGCUUGCAGUAGCUUACAUGAAAUUAAUGCUGUAGUUCUCAGACCCUUGCUGAGUGAGAAGGCGGCUUGUUUUGGUUGGGGUUGUGUCAGUGUAUGCAGGGGGAGACCUGCUAUGGGGAGUGCAAGGCUUCCCAAGGAUCCACAUUCACUAAGCCCACACUGUUCUGUGCUCAGAUAAGGAAAAGGCUUUUUGCACAAUAGACUCCUUAGUUGUUAAAUGCCUCCACUUCACUCAUCCUAGGUAAAUAAAUGUUCUCGUGGAGAUCUCCUGUCUCCUUUGAUACAUUAUUCUAGCUUUGGGCUCAAGCUAUAAUCUGAGAAUUCUUUCUCUCUUUUUCUUAAGAGAUGUGGUCUUGCUUGGUCACCCAAGCUAGAGCAUAGUGGUGCGAUCAUAGCUCACUGCAGCCUUCAGCUCCUGGGCUCAAGUGAUCUUUUCACCUCAGUCUCCUGAGUAGCUAAGACUACAGGCAUGCACCUGUGAGCCACGGUGAGGGAUGGUUUCAAGUGUUCUCUGAAUCAAAGGAAUGCUUUUACUUGACAGGAUGCUUCAGAGAGCUUUGAUCUUGAAGUUAGGGAUAAAUUAGGAUGGGUUUGAAACCUAUCUAACAGAGAAUGAUGGAGCCAUGCGUAUCAACUAUAUAAGCAUCAAACAUCCUGAGGUUCCUACUUAGUCAAUAAUUCUGUGGUUAUUUUAGACCAAGCUUCUAUAAUUACAGCUUCAUUAUGCCGGGCAGACAGUGCUAUUUCCAACACAGGAAGCAGUGGCCUUGCCUUUGUUGUUGCCCUUCUAGGUAGCUGUUGAAGCCACAUGGACAGAAAGCCCAAGUCAACAUGAAGUUGUUCUACAAGUUACUUUGGAGAAAUUGACUUACCAUACCACUCAUCAACCCAUGCAAAAGCCUGUCUAUGUCCAAUCAGCAGAAUGUCUCGGACCACCUAAAAGGUAAAAGAAGGAGAUUGAAAUAAUAGAAUCUUUGAUGACAACUCCCUGGAAGACAGGGUUGUUACCAAUUCCGGGAAUCUUGGUGAUUACAGAGUUUCUCAAUCCCUCUGUCCAUAGGUGAUGACAAUUACAGCUGCCUGUAGGUCCUGUAGUGCCCGCACACCUCCAGCCCUUCCCAGGCUGCACGUGCACUUGCAGUAUAUUCAUCUCCUUGUCUUAUUUGAGAGUAGGGCUGGGUGUGUGUACAAACUAAUGACAAAUACUUGGCAGUCACACAGCAGUGUUACAAAUAAACCUCUAGGUUAAUUACCUUG